CGAUAGUCCGCUAAAAUAUCGUUUGGUCUCGUUGGGUUUUGGUUGGACGCAGGUGGCAACAAGUAGCGCGUUUAAUGGGCUAAUUUGGAUAAUUAUAGCCCUGCUUUGCAGUUUAAGCGAGUGGUUGGUAAAUAGGCUUCUGUGACCGUGGUAUAGCGGGGAUGAGUGCCGGCAGUAGAAUUGAGUCCGGAGGGCGUGUAAGAGCUGGUGGAACGCAAUAAGGGGGGCCGAUACUGCGGUGGUACAGAACACCUGUGAGACUAGAAAAUCUUACUUUUCAGCCAUCACGUCAGAGGAUGGGUGAAAGUGACAUCAUUGCCGGGGCUCAGGCCAAGUUGUGUUCACUGCGCAACUUUCCAUUUCCAUUUGACAUCACCAAAAGGCUACAGGGAGUUGAAGAGAAGUCAUUGGCAGAUAUACUUGCUGAUCCUGUUGAAUAUAAGCGAGUUGAUGUUACUGUCAAGGUCUUGGAAGAAAGGGAGAGGGAGACUGCCACCACCAGGGCCAACAAGACACUGAGCAAAACACUGUAUGCUGUUUCUGAUAUAAGUGGGUCCAUGUGUUUGACCGUGUGGGGAGAUCACAAUUUGUCAACUGGCAAAUGGUAUCUCCUCAAACAUUUCCAUUAGAAAGUUCUUUGGAAAAGUGACCUUCACAACUACAGCGCAAACGACCAUAGAACCUGUGCUGGAUGCUGGACCAGCUGCAGAAGCGGUGAGAGACGAUGCCGAGCUGGUGUGUGGGGAGAUAUUCAGUGCAGAUGUAGUUCAGGAAUAUUACUGCCCCAGAAGACACCUCCUGAAAGAAGUCAACCCAGGAACACUGAUGACAAGGUGUCAUCAGUGUGGAGCUUUCGUUAAAAAUGCUAAAAUGUCCACUGAGAUUCGGGGGAAAAUUUCUGUGGUGGAUGAGCGCGGUGAGCAACGCACAUUUCAGUUGACUGAGCGACUUUUGAGGACCGUGCUAAACUUUGAGAACGACGUAAAAACUGAUGACCUUGCUGCUCAGUUGCUGCCAUAUGACACAGCAGAGAUCCUGUGUCGUGGACGAACAGCUGUGUCUAUGAAGGGGAUCUGUGCACAGAGUGGGGUAGAUCUUGCGGUAACUAAUGUGUUGAUAUUUGUAAUUUGUUGAUGGGAAAGUAUAUUUUAAAAUGUAAUUUCUUGAUUGAGGUGUAUUUAAUUUGUGAUGAAUGGAACACAUUUGCUGUAGUCAAUUAUUUUUUUACAAGUAUGUUCUAUUUAAGGAGAUUGUAUUUGAGAUUACACUUGUAACGGUUUCAAGUACAAAGGAUUGUUUAAUAAAAGCAAAGUAUGUACA